rnacentral:rRNA from 1 species
UACGUAGGGACCAAGCGUUGUUCGGAUUUACUGGGCGUAAAGAGCGUGUAGGCGGCCCGGUAAGUCCGCUGUAAAAGUCAAAGGCUCAACCUUUGAAUGUCAGUGGAUACUGCCGGGCUAGAGUCCGGAAGAGGCGAGUAGAACUCCUGGUGUAGCGGUGGAAUGCGCAGAUAUCAGAAAGAACACCAACGGCGAAGGCAGCCUCGCUGGGACGGUACUGACGCUGAGACGCGAAAAGCGUGGGGGAGCGAACAGG